GAGGGUAUAGCUCAGUGGUAGAGUACAUGCUUAGCAUGCACAAGGUUCUGGGUUUAAUCCCCAGUACUUCCA
rnacentral:tRNA from 1 species